rnacentral:ncRNA from 1 species
AGAUUACAACGGCUACCUGACGUUAUCUUUAUUUGAAAAUGGAGCG